GACGAACGCUGGCGGCGUGCUUAACACAUGCAAGUCGAACGGAAAGGCCCUGCUUUUGUGGGGUGCUCGAGUGGCGAACGGGUGAGUAACACGUGAGUAACCUGCCCUUGACUUUGGGAUAACUUCAGGAAACUGGGGCUAAUACCGGAUAGGAGCUCCUGCUGCAUGGUGGGGGUUGGAAAGUUUCGGCGGUUGGGGAUGGACUCGCGGCUUAUCAGCUUGUUGGUGGGGUAGUGGCUUACCAAGGCUUUGACGGGUAGCCGGCCUGAGAGGGUGACCGGCCACAUUGGGACUGAGAUACGGCCCAGACUCCGACGGGAGGCAGCAGUGGGGAAUAUUGAACAAUGGGCGGAAGCCUGAUGCAGCAACGCCGCGUGCGGGAUGACGGCCUUCGGGUUGUAAACCGCUUUCGCCUGUGACGAAGAGUGAGUGACGGUAAUGGGUAAAGAAGCACCGGCUAACUACGUG
rnacentral:rRNA from 1 species